rnacentral:rRNA from 1 species
CCAGCAGCCGCGGUAAUACGUAGGGUGCAAGCGUUGUCCGGAUUUAUUGGGCGUAAAGAGCUCGUAGGCGGUAUGUCGCGUCGGAUGUGAAAACCCAAGGCUCAACCUUGGGCCUGCAUCCGAUACGGGCACACUAGAGUGUGGUAGGGGAGACUGGAACUCCUGGUGUAGCGGUGAAAUGCGCAGAUAUCAGGAAGAACACCAAUGGCGAAGGCAGGUCUCUGGGCCAUUACUGACGCUGAGGAGCGAAAGCGUGGGGAGCAAACAGGAUUAGAUACCCUGGUAGUCCACGCCGUAAACGGUGGGCGCUAGGUGUGGGGACCAUUCCACGGUUCCGCGCCGCAGCUAACGCAUUAAGCGCCCCGCCUGGGGAGUACGGCCGCAAGGCUAAAACUCAAAGGAAUUGACGGGGGCCCGCACAAGCGGCGGAGCAUGCGGCUUAAUUCGAUGCAACGCGAAGAACCUUACCUGGGCUUGACAUAUGGGGAAACCGGCAGAGAUGUCGGGUCCGCAAGGGCCUCAUACAGUGUGCAUGCUGUCGUCAGCUCGUGUCGUGAGAUGUGGGUAAGUCCCGCACCGAGCGCAACCCUCGUCCUAUGUUGCCAGCGAGUAAUGUCGGGGACUCAUAGGAGACUGCCGGGGUCAACUCGGAGGAAGGUGGGGAUGACGUCAAGUCAUCAUGCCCCUUAUGUCCAGGGCUGCACGCAUGCUACAAUGGCCGGUACAAAGGGCUGCAAAACCGUAAGGUGGAGCGAAUCCCAAAAAGCCGGUCUCAGUUCGGAUUGGGGUCUGCAACUCGACCCCAUGAAGUCGGAGUCGCUAGUAAUCGCAGAUCAGCAACGCUGCGGUGAAUACGUUCCCGGGCCUUGUACACACCGCCCGUCACGUCACGAAAGUCGGCAACACCCGAAGCCGGUGGCCUAACCCUUGUGGAAGGAGCCGUCGAAGGUGGGGCUGGUGAUUGGGACGAAGUCGUAACAAGUAGCCGAU